rnacentral:rRNA from 1 species
GAUGAACGCUGGCAGCGUGCCUAAUACAUGCAAGUCGAGCGGUAAGGCCCUUCGGGGUACACGAGCGGCGGACGGGUGAGUAACGCGUAAGAAUCUACCCCAAACUGAGGGAUAAGCACCAGAAAUGGUGUCUAAUACCGCAUGUGCUCUACGGAGUAAAGCUACGGCGGUUUGGGAAGAGCUUGCGUAUGAUUAGCUAGUUGGUAAGGUAAUGGCUUACCAAGGCGACGAUCAUUAGCUGGUCUGAGAGGAUGAUCAGCCACACUGGGACUGAGACACGGCCCAGACUCCUACGGGAGGCAGCAGUAGGGAAUUUUCCACAAUGGGGGCAACCCUGAUGGAGCAACGCCGCGUGCAGGAUGAAGGCCUUCGGGUUGUAAACUGCUUUUGUCUGUGACGAAUAUGACGGUAGCAGACGAAUAAGGAUCGGCUAACUACGUGCCAGCCGCCGCCGUAA